CCAAGACCCCUGCUGAGUGUUCUGUUUACUGACUCAUAUCGUCUCGACAGUCCCGAGGAACAUCUGGACCCAAAGCAGGAACCUGUUCAAGUGCAUCUCCUGUCCCAGCUAACUCUCCCCCAUCUGUUGAGGAUCAAUGACUCAGCUUUUCGGAAAUUACUUGUUCUUGAGACUUUGGUCCCCAAGGGCAAUGUCCCCAGGAGGUAAUGGUGAUCUAGUGGAAUUCAGGCAGAGAGGCACCCCUGCCAAAAUGCCAUCCACUUUGUCCCGGAAGGCAGCAUUAGGACCUCUCACCUUGAGGAGGGGCCGUGAGACACUUCUCGUGUGUUUUUCACCACCGUUUCUACAUGGAGAAGGAAGAAGUGGUUAUCUACGGGGGUGGGGCUAACUCCUGGCACUUGGCUCACUCCUCUGGAAGAUCACAGCUUACGAGUCCACCCAUGAGCCCACUGAGAAGCAGUCUCAUCCGGCGGGUCUGGAGCAGGGCCUGAGAGUCUGCAUUUCUAGUAACAUCCCUCCCUGGGGAGGCCGAUGCUUCUGGACUCCAGACCACCUUUGAGAGGCAAGCUUUAAUGUCUGCACACCCCUUCAUUUUGCAGUUUGGGAAACUGAGACUUGGAGAGAGUAAGUAGCCAGCCUAACACUACCAGCUAAGGCAGAGUGGGAGAGUGCUCAGAUCUGUGGGCUGCACUCUGGAACCCAAGUGUUUCUGUGGGGAAACAAGAACAUGCAGCUUCCUAAUCCACCAUUUUUCUGAUGUUACUCCCUCUGCAAUUGUAAUGAAUCCUGCCCUUUUCCUCAUGUUUGAUGCCUCAGGACCACAAGAUGGUUGCUACAACUCCAGCAAUCCCAUCUAUGUCCAGAAAUCCCACUGAGGGUAGUGGAAAGGGAAGACAGCUAUA
rnacentral:lncRNA from 1 species